CACAACCAAUCCUCUCCGUCCUCGAGCACCACGCCACUCUUCAUCCCUCUCCACGCUGUCCCACCUCCCCUACUCCUCCUCACGGCCUCUCGCACCGCUGCCUUCUCUUCCUGGGCCUCCCCGACGCUCGAGGUGCAGCAGAGGGGACGCCACUAUGUUCUCAAUCCAGCUAGAUCGGGAUCGGGCGCAGGUCGCCGGCAUCCGACGCCCCGCGCCGUGAUUUGGGAUCAGGCGCCGAUCUCCAUAAGGAGAUUAGGAGCAGCUGCUGCAGGGAGGGUAGGCAGCAGAGGAGCACGUCCAGGUCGAGCCCCCACCCCGGCGGGUGCCUGCAGAGGAGGAGAGGCCGAGGAUGGCUCCCAGUACAUGGAGGAGACGCCCAACACAGGUAGGGGAGGAGGCUGUCCCCGGAGAGGCAACAUGGUGGUUGCACCGGUGCCUCUCCCAUCUAUGCAUCUACCGAGGAUGGAUGGCACCAUGUGGGUCAGGAGGCCGUCAUCACCCUUGUAGGCAUGAUUCAUCGCCUCUGUCGCCCCCGCAUGGCACGACUCAUUGGUCACUGUUGGGCUACUGCCGUAGUCCUGCUACUUGAUGGAGUCUUCCUCCUUUGGCUACGUCUUCCUUCUCUGGCAACGCCUCUCUCGACCCCAGAGGUUCAUGGUUUUACAUUCAAAAAUAAAUAUGCACCUAAGAGAAGCUAGAGGAGUAUUGUUAAUAUCUGGAAUCUAAUUUAAUUGUGGUUCUAUACUGCUGUCAUAACUAAGGAUUGAUUGGUAUAGAAAAUAUAUGUGACCCUCUGUCCUCAGGUCCUUCACCAUCCACAAAUAAUCAGGUUCGACUACCUGCUUGGUCAGUUGUCUCUCUGUAGUAAACAAAUUUUGCAAUUGAACACGCUAAUUUUACAACUAAUAGUCCAUUAACUUUAAUCAUGUGCAUUUAGAAACUGCACAAUACCCCACCAUUGGUCGAGGUCCCUUAUAGGACAAUACUUGAUUUUUUUUCCUAAACAAUCUGGGGCUACCACAAGCUAAGUACCGUCACAGGAUAUGUGAGGGAAAAACAACAGCAAGGAGAGCAUUGUUUGCCACAAGACGCACCAACAACCACACCAUUGAGGUAAGCAACUGAGGACAUGAGAAGGGCCUUCACACCGAUCUCAGAAAAACAAACCUUUUGAAGCCAAUGAAGAAGCUACCAACCAUCUUUUGUUCCCAAACAAUCUUUUCUUCUCCCCACCUUAGCGUGUUCUAUGUUUCAUUGAUAUUCCUAUAACAAAACAGAGUUGGUAUCAGACAUGUAUUUCCUAUAUUUAUGAUGAUAUUCCUUAUGUAUAUAAAAUUAUAUUCUAUAUAGGUCCUCAAUCAAAUGUUAUAUAGGAGAAAUGCUAUAAAGACAGGCAUGUUUUCCCAAAUAACUACUGCUCUUAUGCAGGGUGUCCUAGCGCAUGUCGUCUCGGUGGAAUAGCAGGGGCGGCAGGGUCACCACAGCGGGGUGGACAACAAGAGAGGGUGAGGAGGUUGGCAGUGGGUGAGAAGGAGCAGCAAAGUCGGACGUGGCAGGAAGGAGCACUGAGGUCACAGUGGAGGAUAGGCCAACGAUGGGUGCAAGGAGCUACGUCAGCAAAGCUACUCCGCCGCGAUGGGGUGGAGCUACGAGGUGGGGGAGGCGUCCAAUGACAGAUAUCAAAAAGCAUGUCGUUGCAGCAGGGUAAGAUAAACAAGAAGUGCAUUGAAGGUAGAGAAAGAAUUUCUAAUGUUCUGGAGUACACCAGUUGAUGAGAGCUUUUUGAAACUGUUGUAAGUUUAUCAUUUGAAAUGAUUGAAUUCGUAUUGUUCUCUGUGAGAUUAUUGAUUCAUGUUACAUGACCAUGUUCUGAUUAGCUAUAUUUGAUGCUCUACCCUUUUGACUGAUGGUAGUUUGAAGGAUGAGGUUUGUGCUAAUGCUUUAGCAACUCAUAGUAUGUUGUAGUUAUUUGUUCAGGAAUAUCAGCAAGUUGAACGAUGAAUAGUUUUCUAAUGAAGAAAAAAUUCACGAUAUUGUUGCAUUACUUAUGAAUGCAAUUGAUUUUCAUAACCAGAGGAAGGCAAGUGCUACAUCGUCAAAUAUUGAUACUUCCUUUUCAUGCCAGAUCAGAGUCUUGAUGCCUUGUUGAACUAUAUGUAUACCAUUUUCUAAUAUCUGACAGUUAUAUUGGUUGCACUAGCUUUUGGCAUAUAAUUUGAAGGGUAUUCUUCCCAUAUGAUCAGUUCUGCGGUCUGCACUCAUUUUUACUGCCAUGAAUGGUGUAAGUCUCCCUCUCUCUCACACAUACAUACACUGUGUGUGCGUGUGUCAUUCCCUCUCAGAUUUGAAGGUAAGUUAUUAUUUCGUGUUAUCAAUCAUGGGGAUUUUAUGAUUUCUAUUUAUUUCCGUGGUGGAAAAUUAAAAUCUGACAAGGAGGUCGCUAUCCAUCUACUUCCAUAAUGUCGAACCUCCAACUGAUUUUUCUUUUCCAAUAGGAUAUGCAUUUGAUCCAGUCCAUGUCUUGGCCUCUUUUUGAUGUGUGUUUACCCAUGUUCUUCUUGCAGGUAUUGUUCAAUCCGCCAAUAGCUAGCGGAUGUCGUGUUGUGAUUAAGGUGCCCGCCAUCAAUGAAGACAAAGAAUACCAGGUAGCAAACGAACAGAAAUGGUCCCGACCUUUGAGGGCAAAAUAUAUUCUACAAAGAAUCUUUAUCAGCAAAGGGCAAAGAAGAUUGUCAAUGUCAGCCACCAGUUAUUUUGUUCAGUAGGUGUUCCCUUCCAAUGAGGCUCCAGCCUGAGCAAGGGCAUGGUAGCAGAUAUUGAUCAGUUGGUUGAUUUUGUGCGCCCAUCCUGUAAUUCAACGUAAAGCUUCAGAAAGUGUGUUCAAUGUCCUCUCCAUUUCAAACAAACCAUCAGCUGGUUCUUUAAUACGAUUAUUACUUUUAUCAUACUGUAGAAUUCGUUUCUCGGUUAUCUAAAACUUAUAGCUAUUAAAGAAAGCCCUUGGUUUGUAUUUGGUACUUGUGCCAUUUGGUGGAACUGUAUGAGAAAAUAGUGAGAGAAUGUUGGUAGAAAUUACGAGUGAUGUAAUUACAUA